AUUGAACGCUGGCGGCAGGCCUAACACAUGCAAGUCGAGCGAGCGGCGGACGGGAGAGUAAUGUAUGGGGAUCUGCCCGAUAGAGGGGGAUAACUACGGGAAACGGUGGCUAAUACCGCAUACUAGCGGAUGACCCCAUAUGGGUUUCGCUAGUAGGUGGGGUAAAGGCUCAACUAGGCGACGAUCUAUAGCUGGUCUGAGAGGAUGAUCAGCCACACUGGUACGGAGACACGGCCCAGACUCCUACGGGAGGCAGCAGUGGGGAAUAUUGCACAAUGGGCGAAAGCCUGAUGCAGCCAUGCCGCGUGUAUGAAGAAGGCCUUAGGGUUGUAAAGUACUUUCAGCGGGGAGGCGUUACCCGCAGAAGAAGCACCGGCUAACUCCGUGCCAGCCGCCGCGGUAAUUC
rnacentral:rRNA from 1 species